GUCUCUCGCUUUCUCUUUUUCUCAAAUAAAUAAAAUCUUUAAAAUAAAAUAAAAUACAGAUUCUGAUUUGGUAGCUCUGGGUGUUCAUUUCUGAUAAGCUUCCAGGUGAUUCCAUAGUGCCGGUCUGCCAACAAGGCUUUAGUAGACCUAACUCUUCUGGGGACCCUGUCCUGGCCCGGCCUCUAAGGGAAACCCACUUAAUUCCAACACACUGGUAUGUGACUUUUUAUUUCUGUCAUUGACCUCUGGCAGGACAAACAGAAGUCCUUUUAGCAUCUUUUCACACAUGCUCAAGCCAUGUAUUUCACAACUAGGAAAUAGACAUUAAUUUAAAACUACGGUUGGCCCUGGAACAACACAGGUUUGAACUUAGCAGGUCCACUUAUGAUGGAUUUUUUUAAAAAAUAAAUACAGUACUGUAAAUGUAUUUUCUCAUUCUUAUGAUUUUCUUUCUUUAAAAAAAAAAGGAUUUUAUUUUUAAGUAUCCUCUAUACCCAACGUGGGGCUGGAACUCUCGGCUCCAAGAUCAAGAGUCGCACCCUCUACCGACUGAACCAGACAGGUGCCCACUCUCCCUUAUGGUUUUCCUAAUAACAUUUUCUUUUCUGUAGCUAGCUUUAUUGUAAGAAUGUAGUAUGUAAUAUAACAUUUUCUUUUCUGUAGCUAGCUUUAUGGUAAGAAUGUCGUAUGUAAUACAUAUAACCUACAAAAUACAUGUUAAUUGAUAUGUGUUUAUGUUAUGGGUAAGGCUUCUGGUCAGUAGUAGGCUAUUAGUAGUUAAGUUUUGGGGGAGUUGGAAGUUAUCUACAGAUUUUCAACUGUUCGAGGUGGGGGGAUGGCUAACCCCAAGUUGUUCAAGGAUCAGUUUUAUUUCCUGUGGGUCCGUGGCAUUGAGUCAUUUGUAUAAAUCUGGCCUUUGUUAAUGGCUAUAACUUGAAAACAAAAUUCUUCGGUUUAAGUUGAAUUGAUUAAUCCCUCAGGGAUUUCUUAUCAAAACCCUCAUAUCUGGCUAUCAACAAGACUUCUGCUUGUAUCAGAUUCUUCUUCAAAGCCAAGGUAGAUAGAGGGCCAAACACUCUGGUCUGCCAACUUUUGUCAAGUGCUAGCUGGUAGAAAUGGGAUCAAAGUUUACCAACACUCCCAAGACUUCCUCUGAACCAGGGAACCUAGAGGUGUGGCUGUGGUCCCUUACUUUGGGUGCUUUCAUUUCUCCAGAACGGUUUCUUAUACUGGGCUUAAACAUCUCUUUGGAGAUACCGAAAUCCAACCUGCAUUUUUUCUGUGCAGUUUUCACAGUAUGUUCUUUCUUCUGACCUUCCUCUUUACAGAGGGAAGCAGUGCAACCCCAUAGAUCUAGUCCAUCCAGGAGUCCUACCAAAAAGUUUGUUUUUCAGUUAAAAAGUAUUUUUAAUUGGAAAAUUAUGUACUAACCUUCACCUUGGUGUAGACACUACCAGUGGAACUCAUGCUUUGAACAAAGGCAGUGUGGGUAACAGGAGUGAAGCCUUUGUAAUCAGACAAUCAUCCUAGCUUAGUUGUUACUGGCCUGAUCUAAGUCAUUUUUCUAAAUCAAAUUAUGUCAGGUGAGGCUUCCCACUUCUCAGGGUGUGUGGGAAAUCCAAUCUCAGUUGUCAUUAGGAUCCCUCACUUCCCAGAAGAAGAGCCAGGACUUCAGGUCCUCAUCUAUUCCUGGUUACCACUGUUUGUGCACCUGCCCUGGACCCCUGACAUCACCCAGAAGGGAGGCUCGUUAGUAGCUCUGCUUCCCCCCUGGCCAGCUCACUAAAAGGGUGUUAGUCUCCACAAGAACUGUGCCCACAUCUUUAUCUGAAAUCUUGGUCCAGCAGCUGUGUAAAUGGGUCAGGGCUUUGCUCUUCAUGGGACCCUAAACCUUUCCCCUCCCAGCUUGGGGAAGAUCAGUCCUAUGGGUUGAAUAACUCACUUUCAAUCCCACAAGCCCACAACCUUCAUACCCAUUGCUUUGGAGGAUUCUGGCACUUGAAUUCCAUUGGUCUCCACCUUUAAAACUCAGAGGCCCCCAGGUUAGUCCACCCACCUAGGGACUUAUCCUCUUUUUGUUCUAAAACAUCCUCCCCCCAAAAAACCAAAAACCUGUUUACAACUACUGCUGACAUUAUUGUGUGUUUAUUUGGAGCCAGGUGCUAUUCUAGAAGACCAUUAAAUAUCUUUAUUAUUAAAUAAUUUUUAUUGUUAUGUAAUUUAUUACUAACUUUAGUUUAUGUAACAACUCUGGAUGGUAUUCUUCUCACGUUUACAUGUAAGGAAAUUGUGGCCUAUGGUGGUUGGGUGGGUUUGACCAAGUGCCUGCAGCCAGUGAGUGGGAGAAUCUGCAGGUGAGCAUGCAGGUGAACAGAGAUGUUUGGUUAGUAAACCCUGGAAACAUGCUCGCUGGGUUCUCCCAUUGCCGGUGACUCAGUGUAUUUCCUUUAUCUGAAGACCUCGGUGUAGUGUAGUCGUUUAUACCCAGGUGCCCUUGCGCCUGAACAAUCUGUGGCCCUGCAUCACCGCUGUCUCACUCUUCCCAUCUUUUUCAGCAAGAGGAACAACUUUGACCCCGUAAAGAGGACAGAGCUGCAGAGGUCCCCUGGGGAGUGUAGCUCAGUGGGGGAGACAUCCAGUGACUCCUGUUACAAAUUAGUGGCCCUCGGCCUCUAGUUUGCUGAAGAGGGCAGAGAACCUCGAAAGGCCCCAGUGUUGACUACCUUUGAAGAAUCAUGGUGAAUUAGAAAGGGGUCAAAUAAAGAAGGAAAACCACCUUUGUCCAAAUUUUAAAUAAAGCAAGAGUGUCUGGAAGCUUAACCAGAUGCUUUGACUAUCAGUUCCCCAGUGAAACAUAGAGUCAAAGGGAUGAUUUAUCAACCUUUAGAAAAGCAUGUGGUAUUCGUAGGUCUAGCACUUCACUAAAGGACAGAUAUUCAACUGACUUUAUUUCCUGUUUUGAAGGAGCCCACAUAUUAAGGAUAUGUUGUUGACAUAUUUUGUCUUGAUUUUACUAAAGCAUUUGACCGAGAAUUCUAUGAAGAUGGUGACAUGUUGAUUAGAUCAGUAGUUUCCCCUUGCUUUUCUUUUCUUUUUCCUUCCGCCUUAGACCAGAUUCUCAUCUCUGUUCCCUAUCUUUUGGAAGAGAAUUAUUGAGGAAAGGGCCCAGGAAUCCAUAUAUUAAAAUCCAGGUCCACCGCAGCCGUUCCACAGACUGCUGUUUGAGAAACGCUGACAGACAUUUUCAGAUUUGGGUGGGAGCAGGGAAUCCCCUGCUCAAAUAAAAUUUUAUAUAAAACUCUGCCAUGUAGAACAGAUAAAGUGACAUAGGGCUAGUAUAAAGUUUUUGAAGUCUACAUGUGUAAUGUUUACUGAAGAGUCAGAACCAUGAGGCUCUUAACGAAAAGAGGAAACAUUUAAAUCUGGUGUUGAUAGUCACUGUGUAAUAGCUGUAUUCACAUCAACUUCUGUGUUUAAUAAAAUUGUAUCUGUUGCUUUAAAUGCAUCAUGUUUAAGAAAUCUGCUCUUACAGGUAAUUACUCACAACCUGUAACAGGGUGUGUGUGUGUGUGUGUGUGUGUUUUGUUUUUAAAUAACUUGUCUUGGAAUCCCAGGAUGCUUUUCACUUCCACCAGCCUGCGGUAGGGAAUAUUUGUCUCAGAGCCCUGACCCUGUACCGAAACCUAUGGAAACAAUUGCGCACAUUCCUUAUCAUAAAUCUAAAGUCAUACAGGAAACCUCUAAUUCUGAGAAUAAAUAUUUACCCUCUCUCAAGUAGGAUAUUAUCACAAAGGAUUUUUUGACUGUGGUGAAAGCAGAGCCGCACGGAUGCCCCUGAGCCCCGCCCGGCGUGUAAUGGAGCCCCGCACCGGCUGUGGUUUCGUACUUGCGUGCUCCCUUGGACAACCGCACGAGAGCCUGCACGUGAGACUGAGGCGAGGGUACAACUUCCCUUACUCAUGUCACACUUCCAGGAAGCCCACGUGCGCAUGGACAGGUGGGCUGCGAAGGCUCCCCAGACAGGAUCGUUAGGUGGGACCUGUGUAUCUGCCGUGGGUGAAAAGUGGGAGGAAGAUGGAAGAAACAGAGGUAUACUUGCAGAUGGAACAGAGGGAGCCACUGAACGGGUAGGUAACUGAAAUUGGCAGGAGUUGUGUAUACAGUAACUCAGUGAAUUCGUAUUUGUGACGUCCUUAGAAGAGUUCCUGGCAUAUAGUAAACACUAUACGUGUUUGCUCUUGUGAAGUUCUUUUAAGUGUGCCUGAGCCCGAAACAAACCAGUCAACAACCAAAAAGUACCCAACAAAAACAAACCCUUUGCUCCUAAACCAAUUGGGAACAUCAUUGGUAAAUUACUUUUUUCUUUUUUUCAUCAUUGGUAAAUUCUGUGGGACCUAUUAUGCUGGCCUGAGAAACUUACUGUCUUAACCUUUGAGCACCCACAGUGUUUGAAUACCCAUUCAUUUUUGAUUUUUCAUUCAUGAUGACCUUUUAAGUGUCAGAUCUGCUUCCGUUUUGAAGAAAACAAGGUCUUAAAAAAUUCUUGAAGAAACAGCUCCUUAUCAUUUGGGGAAUGAGAUUGCAAAGUUGACCUGUCACCUUUCUCCUCCCCUGUGUCCACCUGUCUGGAUCUGCACGGUUCCUGCCUUUUUGCCUUGCUGUGGAGAGGCUGGGGUCUCCCGAUCCACAUCUCACCUUCCCUCUCAUUGCAGCUCUCCUGUCUCCCCUGGCUCCUCUCCCUCAACACGUCAGCUUGGUUCAGGACCCAGAGGAGACGCUGGGAGUGGGGUCCACAGUCUGAUUAGUACUUUUAAGAUGGAAGGCCCUCUGAUUUGGCUCCUCGUAAUCCAAGCUUACGCCUUAUAAGACAAGUCCAGCCUGUGCUUCAGGAUCCUCUGUGUUCUGCCCAGUGGUGAGUAUGGAUGACAGCAGUUUCUGAUUUUCACUGGUUCUUGCUUCUGAAUUUCUAAAUGGCAUUUCGUUGGACGAUAAGCUUUUAAAGAGCAUCUUUUCCUGACCCAUUUAUGCUACACUUCACAUUUACCUGUAGAAUAUACUUUGGAUGUGGUGAUAAUCAUAAAAGAUGGCAUGACCUAUAGAUGACAAUAGAAGUUACAAGCUAAGAUACAUUGAUUUUUGCAGCAUAUUGCCAUGAAGGCAGUUUGGAUUUUGACAUAUUUGUAUUGUGGUUUUUGUGAUGUUCUUUAAAACACAAGUAUGGAAGAUAACAGUAUACAUUCUAGCAAAAAUAAUGCAGUUAAAUAAGCUAAAGGUAUCAAAAGAAGACAAAGUAUAUCAAACUUUGUGAGAAGUAGAAACUCAUAUUUGAAGUGGUUGAUACUCGAAGGGUUAGAUUAUUGCCUCUGUAUUAUUUUGCAUAUGCCGGAUUUCCCAAAUCACACCCUUAAGUCAUGUUCUCCAUUAAUGCAGAAGAUGCUUAAUAUAUAAUUAUUGUAGAAUUUCUCUUUCUCUUUGGAAAUGUCAGAGUAGAGAGUUGAAUCAGUCAUUCUGAUGUGGCUUUUUCAGUUUACUGCGUUAUUAUGUCUGAGUGCCUUAGAGCUGGGGUUCUUCACCCUCUUGGGGUGUUGGGCACCUUUGAGAUUACGAUGGAAGCUAUGAAUCCUUUUGCCACAUUCACACAUAAACAUUUGCCUGCGUUUUGGGGGACAUCUGCAGCUCAGUAAGGCUCAUCUGUGGCCCCCAGGUUAAGGACACCAGCCCAGAGCCAAACCUUACGUGAUCCUGCCAUUCUUGAACUUCCCAGUAAACACUCUGAUUUCAAAGAGGAGGCAUCCAAGUCAGAAAAAAGUCACUCUGUGUUUUCUGGGGGCGGGGGCAGGGGUUGGAGGGGGAGCAUGCUUUAAAAAAAAGGAAAGGUGGAGAAUAUAGGUGACUAAUAUUAAAUAAAUAAAGAGAACGGAUAAUAUUCUCAGAACCUCCAAACGGAUACCCCAGGAUUCCCAAACAUUUAACUAUGAAAUGUGUAUAAUGCAUCAUGAAUGCUGGUAGAGACUUUAAGACUCAUGGUUAACAGUUGGGGCGAGUUUUUCUCAUACACAAUGAAAUCUCUUUUCUUUCUUUUUCCUUUUCUAUUGUGUAUGUUAGCAAAUUAGGACUACAAAUCAUCCGAACUCCAGAAAUAUAAUUGAAAACAAUUGUAACCAACUGGAGAAUGAUUCUCUGUCAGCACAAGAACUCUGGUGGGGGUAGAUGGAAGGUAGUUUAGUUGAGUGCAGAAAACCACCGUUUAGAAGAACUGUAGCCCUUAACUGCCCAUCAGGUAAAUUCAAGUCAGUACUGUAAGGCUGUUGUGGAAAAAAAUAGACAUGAAUCUUGGGUGUAUUAACAGAAGUAUGACAUGAAAGGGUAAGAAAACAAGACUUGCAUUAGUCACACUCAUUAUUGUGUCCAGCCUGAGUCACAUUUGAAAAAAAGAUUUUGGGUAAUUGUGAAGAGCAGAUACACAAGCAACAGAAGUUUUGUACACCCUUCCAGCAAAAGAUAAAGUGACAGAGUUUCAGUCUGAAAAAGGUUCAGGGAUUUCUUGCUAAUAGUCUUCAAGUAGUGAGAGUCUGAUUUAUCUUUCUAUCCCUGGUGGGUCACCCACUGCCUCACUUUCAGUAAAUUGCAGUGCUUUAAAUGACCAUCCUUUGAUAGUCUGGGCAGGAGCAAAUGGAUUCCAAUAAAACCAAAGAGAUGUGGUCGGGACAUAAGGUCUGUAAUAAAUAAAUGUGUUGACUAAUGAAUAGAUAAGAAAGACAACCUCAGUUGCCACGAUGGUCAAGUUAGAUGAGUGGCGAGCCGAGGGAAGUGAGGAAAUCUUGGGUUGAGAUCUUUCCCAAGGUGAGAAUAGGUAACUAUGAGAUGGUGGGAACAUGUCUUCAUUCAUUCAUUCAACAAACACUGAGGGCCUGUGUUGCUAGGUGCUCACAUUCUGGGAGAGGAGGCCGAGGUACAAAAACACAGAUCACAGUGGAUGCUGCAGUUGCAUGAAUCAGCUUGCUGUGGGACCUGGGAACACCUAGUCGCCGUCCGUGAGGCUUCCUGACGAAGGUGAUGUCUGAUUUGACUCUUGGAGGACAGCCUUUGAGGAGUUAGCCAGACAAGGGGCGGGGGCAAGCAUUGUGGUGAGGCGCUGAGCGUCAGAGGCUGUGAGGUCCGGUGGAGGGUGUGGGGGGAACAGCGAGAGACGGUGAAGCUGGAGGGGAGUCCCUGACAACAGGCCCAAGGCGCCACACCCCGUCUGCCUGAAGGUCUCUGUCUGGGAGGGUGAGGAGGCCAGACCUUGGAAAGGGGGCCAUGGCUGCAGUGAAGAGAAUGAGUUGGUGAGGAACAGGCCAGGUCAGGCAAGGCAGGGAGACCAGACAGCGAGAGAGCUGCUCCAGCCGGAGCCUUCCAGUGGAGAUGAACGACAGGGAUGCCCAGGACAGUGGAUUCAGAGGGCGUUAGUGAGGUGGGAAAGGGGAGAGGCGAAAUAAGGAUGGUGGCUGAGGUGAUGAAGCGGGAUCAUUCACCAUGAGACGAAACAUGAGAGGGGAAGCAGGUCUGAGGGAAGGUAAGGCAGUGUUUGGACGUGGCAAAAUGCCCACGGACAAGUGGUGGUGUAGGACACCAGGAGAGUGGCCAGGUGGCUUGUAUGGAUUUGGAUCCAGGGGUCCAGCUCAAAGUCAUUAUCUUACUGGUGGUCUUGACUUGUGUGAGACCUGUUUCUAAAGCAGUGGAUCACUCUCCCAAAUUUUUUAUAUGGUAUUUGUUAUUUUUUUCUAACAUGUGUAGUAAAACUUCUUGAAAAUAUGAAAUAGUGUAAAGAAGGAAUUUGAAUUAUCUCUGAUCCCAUCACCCAAAGCUCUCUUAAUAUUGGUGUGUAUUUCCUUCAAUAUUUUCCUGCACACACACAGAGUUUGCAGAAUUAGCAUCAUCCUGUGUAGGAGCUUUUAUAUCCCAUUUCUUAAAUGAGCUUUUUCUCCACGUGCUUAAAAAUGCUUUAAAAACAUAUUUAACAGUGCAAAAUUGGAGCGUGUUUAGUUAGCUUCCAUUUUCUUUUCUUUAGAGAGAGAGUGCAAGAGCACAUGCGGGUGGGGGGGGGCAGAGGGAGAGGGAGACAAGCAGACUCCCCACUGAGCAGGGA